rnacentral:rRNA from 1 species
UACGUAGGUGGCAAGCGUUGUCCGGAUUUACUGGGCGUAAAGAGCGCGCAGGCGGUCGUUCAAGUCGCGUGUGAAAGCCCCCGGCUCAACUGGGGAGGGUCACGCGAUACUGAUCGACUCGAAGGCAGGAGAGGGUAGUGGAAUUCCCGAUGUAGUGGUGAAAUGCGUAGAUAUCGGGAGGAACACCAGUGGCGAAGGCGACUACCUGGCCUGUUCUUGACGCUGAGGCGCGAAAGCUAGGGGAGCAAACGGG